rnacentral:sRNA from 1 species
GUCGGGCGCCAUGGUGUACACCUGUAAUCCCAGCAGCUGGGAGGCUGAGACAGGAGGAUCACAAGUUCAAAGCCAGCCUAAGCAACGGUGAGGCACUAAGCAACUCAGUGAGACUCUGUCUCUA